rnacentral:rRNA from 1 species
AAACUCUAUAAUGAUCCUUCCGUAGGUGAACCUGCGGAGGGAUCAUUA